rnacentral:pre_miRNA from 1 species
UUGGUACUCCCUCCGUCCCAAAAUUCUUGUCUUGAAUUUGUCCAAAUACGGAUGUAUCAAGUCACGUUUUAGUAUUAGGUACAUCCGUAUCUAGAUAAAUGUAAGACAAGAAUUUUGGGACGGAGGGAGUACAAA